rnacentral:rRNA from 1 species
AAGACCCCGUGAACCUUUACUAUAGCUUGACACUGAACAUUGAGCCUUGAUGUGUAGGAUAGGUGGGAGGCUUUGAAGUGUGGACGCCAGUCUGCAUGGAGCCGACCUUGAAAUACCACCCUUUAAUGUUUGAUGUUCUAACGUGGGCCCCUUACCGGGGUUGCGGACAGUGUCUGGUGGGUAGUUUGACUGGGGCGGUCUCCUCCUAAAGAGUAACGGAGGAGCACGAAGGUUGGCUAAUCCUGGUCGGACAUCAGGAGGUUAGUGCAAUGGCAUAAGCCAGCUUGACUGCGAGCGUGACGGCGCGAGCAGGUGCGAAAGCAGGUCAUAGUGAUCCGGUGGUUCUGAAUGGAAGGGCCAUCGCUCAACGGAUAAAAGGUACUCCGGGGAUAACAGGCUGAUACCGCCCAAGAGUUCAUAUCGACGGCGGUGUUUGGCACCUCGAUGUCGGCUCAUCACAUCCUGGGGCUGAAGUAGGUCCCAAGGGUAUGGCUGUUCGCCAUUUAAAGUGGUACGCGAGCUGGGUUUAGAACGUCGUGAGACAGUUCGGUCCCUAUCUGCCGUGGGCGCUGGAGAACUGAGGGGGGCUGCUCCUAGUACGAGAGGACCGGAGUGGACGCAUCACUGGUGUUCGGGUUGUCAUGCCAAUGGCACUGCCCGGUAGCUAAAUGCGGAAGAGAUAAGUGCUGAAAGCAUCUAAGCACGAAACUUGCCCCGAGAUGAGUUCUCCCUGACUCCUUGAGAGUCCUGAAGGAACGUUGAAGACGACGACGUUGAUAGGCCGGGUGUGUAAGCGCAGCGAUGCGUUGAGCUAACCGGUACUAAUGAACCGUGAGGCUUAACCUUACAACGCCGAAG